rnacentral:rRNA from 1 species
GAGUUGGCUUGCAUCGCUAAUGUUAAUUGUGGCUUUCGCAGGUUCAGGAAGAGCUAUUUUGUGCACAUAAGUUGCUAUUGGCAGUGGACAGAUUGUCUAUGCAGAGAGCUUAGAGAAAAAAGUAAAUGCUCACCCAAAGGGCAAAAAAUUGGUUGUCGUUUUUCUAGCAACCGGACAAAAGGUCCAUUUUCAAAGCAUUGUUUGAACUUCUCUGAAUUCACAGUGGAUGGCGCACAGAAUGUAACCUCCCAAGUAGACUAUCUCCAGCAGAGGAAAACUUCCACCGAAUCGACACGAAGCUCCAUAUCCAUGUGGGCGCUCCGGCGGUGGCGACAACUGCGCCAGCGCCAACACGCCAUCCCUCAGCCCGCUUUGCUUGAUGCCGGACUUGCCGUCCGCGUCGGAGAGGCAGCUGCAGGUGCAGGCCUAGAAGGCGCGGGCGAAGAACAGCUUCACCAAGAGGCUGCCCACAUUGAGGCACAAGUUGGAGGGGAAGCAAGCGAGAGUCGAGGCGGAACCAGCGGGCAGUCUGGGUGGCGUGAUAGGUAG